rnacentral:rRNA from 1 species
GUACCGUGAGGGAAAGGUGAAAAGCACCCCGACGAGGGGAGUGAAACAGUACCUGAAACCGAACGCCUACAAUCAGUUGGAGGGCCCUUGAGGCCUGACAGCGUACCUUUUGUAUAAUGGGUCAUCGACUUGGUCUCACGAGCAAGCUUAAGCCGUUAGGUGUAGGCGCAGCGAAAGCGAGUCUGAAUAGGGCGACCGAGUAUGUAGCAUUAGACCCGAAGGCAAGUGAUCUAGAUAUGG